rnacentral:rRNA from 1 species
GGCGAACGCUGGCGGCGUGCUUAACACAUGCAAGUCGAACGGAAAGGCCCUGCUUUUGUGGGGUGCUCGAGUGGCGAACGGGUGAGUAACACGUGAGUAACCUGCCCUUGACUUUGGGAUAACUUCAGGAAACUGGGGCUAAUACCGGAUAGGAGCUCCUGCUGCAUGGUGGGGGUUGGAAAGUUUCGGCGGUUGGGGAUGGACUCGCGGCUUAUCAGCUUGUUGGUGGGGUAGUGGCUUACCAAGGCUUUUACGGGUAGCCGGCCUGAGAGGGUGACCGGCCACAUUGGGACUGAGAUACGGCCCAGACUCCUACGGGAGGCAGCAGUGGGGAAUAUUGCACAAUGGGCGGAAGCCUGAUGCAGCAACGCCGCGUGCGGGAUGACGGCCUUCGGGUUGUAAACCGCUUUCGCCUGUGACGAAGCGUGAGUGACGGUAAUGGGUAAAGAAGCACCGGCUAACUACGUG